UGUUCGUUGUUCUUCUCUCUUUCUUGAAGGAGUGAAGUUCACUUUUGUUCGUUUUUCUUUUCAAGAGAAAGUGAUGGCAGCUGAAGAAGCGAAGAUUCUUGAUGGUAAGGCCAUCUCUAAGGAGAUUCUGUCUGAGA
rnacentral:ribozyme from 1 species